ACCAAAAAAUACAGUGAGUUUGGGGCUCGUUUUAAAUGCAGUUAUUCACUCUGCAAAGAAUAAAUAACAUGGUGACUGAGUCACAAAGCAGCUUUAAUGUCUUCCCCCUGACACUGGCCAGGCUGAUACAGGACCAUUGGCCAUUUUUCACUCAGAGCAGAAUGAAGGAAGAAUAAGAAGGAGAAGAUGGGAAAAGACGCAUGGAUCACAAAAUGCGUGGAGAACCUGCAACAUGACUGAGGUCAGGAAUGAGAGUCUGUCUUUCAGCCACUGAUGUGACGUGAGGGGACAUCUGCCAGCUCAGGAGGGAGUCUGAAGCCCAAGAAGAUAAUUGAAGCAGUAAUAAAAUCUCAUUCAGGACUCAUUUUAGGCAGAAGGCAACACCCCAAAUAAGAACCCCUGGCCGUGGACCUGGGGCAGCAGCAAUCUUGAUUUCUCUGCAGAACAGAGUCAUGGGAUUCCACAGCCACUGAGGCUCAGCAUUUAGGUACUGCCCAGUGCAACCAGCCUGCAUGUACCUGCCCUCCUCUGCCAGUGAAUUUUCCCCUGUAAUAAAAUCUGACCCAUUAUAAUCCCCAUUUCAUCCUACACAGGCAACGAACUGUUCUGAUUCUGCUUGCAAUCUAGUAUUUUGUUUUCUACAUGUUUCAUUAGCUUAAAGGGAGAAAAAAAUAUAUGUAAUGUUGAUUGUAGCUCAUUUCCUGCUCAGUGCUAUUGCCUGUAGGCCAGAGACUGAUAGACUGAUGUCAGGUCUAUGAUACCAGAUCAAAAUGAAAGGCAAGCUCUGAAUAUAAGUUAUUCAAAGUUGUGUUAAAAAAUAAAAAUAAUAAUUGUUCCUGCUAGGAUCUACAUUAACAAAUAUACAAUGACCUUGAUGCAGUGGUGGUUAUCAAAGAAAAAUGUGAGAUUAAUGAUGGAGAGAAAUGUUACCCAGCAGUUUACCCAACAUUAUGAAAUUCUAUUUCAAAGGAAAUGACAGUGAUCACUAAUCUUAGUGUUUUCAUUGUACUUAUCUUAAAAUAACAAUCACUUUUAGUAGGUAAAUGAGAUUUGGCCUUCCAGGAGAUAAGAAAAAAUGUUAAAGUUAUGUUUAUGAAAAGCCAAAUUGAGUGCUGUGAUUGCUGUGACCUUUUUUCUUUAUGCUGUCCUCAUCUACAUAGUCCUAUCUAUAGAUGAACUCUAAAAACCCUUAGGGCAGGGAAACAGUUAAGUCAUCAGAGAAAGAUCCUCCUUUGUUCUAGAUGCUGUAUAAUACUCAGCAAAAGCAGCCUUAAUUCCUUAAUACAAAUAAAAAUAAAUAAAUGUAUCAUAGUAACAUGGGGUUGGAAGAGACUUUAAAGAACCUAUAGUCUAUCUGUUAGGGCUGCUCCAAAAGUAAUGCCUCCUACUUUUUGAUGUUAGCCUACAAUGUUUGAAGCAGAUGUUGGUAGUAUGACUGUAGAGGUUAAACCUUCCCACCAAUAUUUUGUUGUCAUGUGACAGAUGGCAGCAGAGGGGCUGUCUGACACAAUGACAUCUUAUGUAGAAAUGCAUAUGAAGCAAAGGUGUAGAACUGAAUGCCUCCACUUGUUGAAAUCCAUUGAUGCUUGCUAAACGUUGAUGGAGACCAAACAGUGGAUGUCAGCACAGUGAGGCUGUGGGUGGUAAAUUUCAGCAGAGGUAAGAGCAACAUGAAUGACAAGGCACAUUCUGGACAACCAUGCAUAUUGUUACAAGUGCAGCAUGCAGACUCUUGGUCAGGGCUGGUGAAAAUGCAUAGCUAAUGGUAUGUUGAAAUGGUAUUUUGUAGCUGAGAAUUUGCUCUGUCAAAUAGUGUUAUUGUGCUCUUUGCAUCUGUUGUAGUUUCCAUGGAAAUAAAUAAGAGCCAUUACUUUCACAAUGACCUAUGCAUUUAUAAGUCUUCCCAGUAUUCACGUGGAGGACAGAAAAACAGGACGUUUUAAUUAUGAUAAAAUGAUGUUGUUUUGUUUUAUUUUUUUUUCUCAAGUACCUACAGAUGACAAUACAAUAAAAGAUAAUAGAAGAUUAUGAAUAUUUUCUUUCUUAUCCUUCAAAGUUUGCAUGAAUAAUGUGCUCCCUCAUUUAUAGAGGACAGCAACAUCAAUUUUUUUCCUCAUUAAAGACAAUCUUUUGUUUUGCUAAUAUAGAUAAUGUGUCCUAGCACAUAAUUUCAUCAUUGCUGAUGUUUGCCUUUGGAACUAUAACAUGAAAGAGUAUCGCACUGUAAAAGCUUCAUUAUGUUUGUUAUUAUUGUUUUGUUUAUGGGUUUUUGGGUUGUUUUUGUUUUGGUUUGGUUUGGUUUGGUUUUUCGAAUGUGUGUAUAUUGGUAAAAUUCUGUGAACUACUGUGGAACAAUAGUUUGCUUUUUUUCCUUUGGAGUUCAUUCAGCACAAACAUAAAUGCUCCACUGAUACAGUGUAGAGGAUACAAUUUGUAAAUUUAGCUUAGCAAAACCCAGUAUUGUGUGUUGACAGACAAGAAAAGCUAUGUCUACACUACAAUGAGGAGUUUAGAUUGCUGCACAUGCAGGCAUAACUGAGCUAGCUUUAAACUUCUAAUCUUCAUUCCUGUAUCAAUAGCAGGAAACCUACCAGAAUGUAGGUUUUCUGCUAAAACCCAAGCUUAAGUGAGCAAAACCCAAGCUUAAGAGCAAACAGAGUGUGGAAGCAUAAUUUUGAGCCAUCAAUAUUAUGCUUGCACAUAAACCUGAACAUUCACUUGGCAGCUGUAUCCUAUGGCAUGCAGUUUUAAAUUAAAACUAGCUCAGUAUGUCUUGCAUAUGCUACAAUCACACUUCAGUCUGAAACCUCAUACAGCCUAAAUCGAAGCAGCAAUGCAUACUUCACACUUAGAAAUGGUCUUCCAGAUCUGGUCAUCUGUGGGACAGAUGUGUAACACAUUCCUCACAUCUGAAUCAAAAACAGUUUUACAUCAACCUUCCUGUUGUACUUCUUUUCAACCACCCAUUUCCAGAUCUGACCAUUGGCAGCAGUCAUGUAGUAUGUUUGGUUUAAUACCUUUGCACCCCUGUUUUUAUUUAUCCCAUGUAAGCACACAUUCUCCUGGGCAAUCUUGGCAGUCUCUGAGGGGCACUGAAGUGAGCAAGGAAGAAGAUGACAACUGUGGCACUGAAAUGAGUGCACACCUACUGAAAUGAGAAAGCAAUCAAAACCAUGAGAACGCAUGGCAAACUCGUCCAUGGGAGCCAUUUAAGGAAGGAGCCUUGACUUUCAAUAUAUUUUUGGAACAUGCGGUCAGAUAUUAUAAAACUACCUUGUAUUCUCUUCACCACUUGUGGCAACACAAGCAUGCGACCUAAUACAUUAACAAUCUAGAUCUGAUUGCAAGUUAAUUGCAAGUAGAAUGUAAUGGUCUUGCUGUGCACUAAACCACUAACCACUUUCUCCCCCAAGAUCCUCUUUCAUAAUAUGAUGAAAGUGUUGUAGAGAAGAAAAUAUAUCAGGGUUCUCUACCAUGGUAUAAAAUGAGAGCUUAAAAUAAAAUAUGAUUUCUUCUUAUCUUUUUCACAAUGUGAAGAACUCAUCCAGUUUUCCACAUAGUUGCCAGACUUUACCUGGAGAUACAAUACCACUGCAUGGAGAGGACUCUACACAUCAACUGCUGGCCCCUCAAGCAAGCAACACCUAUUACAAUGCUCAUGGUGUUACUAUGGAUUAAAAAGCAGAGGAGAGUACGACAGGGUGAAGUUGGAGUCCUACUAUGUGUUAUCAUUUAAAAGCAGAAAAUGUAUUGCUUUUUUUUUUCUGGUAGUAUUUGAAUCAGAGUACUGCAUGUUAUUACCCUACAAACUACCCUGCUGUUCUUUCUGUUGUUGUAAAAUGAAAUUGGAACCCAUGGAGUAGAGGUCCAAUUUAGCUCACCGUGGUUAAGUGCAUUUAACCUGACAUGUGUCCUCAGAUCUUCUGGUGAAAGUAAUUAUGAAAGUGAACUACAUGGUAAUAUAUGAUAACAAGUGCUUAUUUUCCUGCUCAGUUCAUUGGAACUCUAGUCGGGGAAUAUGGGGUGCCAUUGUAAUAUAAAUAUCUUGCUGUUGUUUUGUUGCUGCUAAUAAUAACAACAAAUGUCCACUAUUAAUGCUAUUAAAACUAUUUAAUACUUUACAGUA